GCUGGCGGCGUGCUUAACACAUGCAAGUCGAACGGGAAAUAUUUCAUUGAGACUUCGGUGGAUUUGAUCUAUUUCUAGUGGCGGACGGGUGAGUAACGCGUGGGUAACCUGCCUUAUACAGGGGGAUAACGGUCAGAAAUGGCUGCUAAUACCGCAUAAGCGCACAGAGCUGCAUGGCUCAGUGUGAAAAACUCCGGUGGUAUAAGAUGGACCCGCGUUGGAUUAGCUUGUUGAUGGGGUAACGGCCCACCAAGGCGACGAUCCAUAGCCGGCCUGAGAGGGUGAACGGCCACAUUGGGACUGAGACACGGCCCAGACUCCUACGGGAGGCAGCAGUGGGGAAUAUUGCACAAUGGGGGAAACCCUGAUGCAGCGACGCCGCGUGAAGGAAGAAGUAUCUCGGUAUGUAAACUUCUAUCAGCAGGGAAGAUAGUGACGGUACCUGACUAAGAAGCCCCGGCUAACUACGUGCCAGCAGCCGCGGUAAUACGUAGGGGGCAAGCGUUAUCCGGAUUUACUGGGUGUAAAGGGAGCGUAGACGGUGUGGCAAGUCUGAUGUGAAAGGCAUGGGCUCAACCUGUGGACUGCAUUGGAAACUGUCAUACUUGAGUGCCGGGGGGGUAAGCGGAAUUCCUAGUGUAGCGGUGAAAUGCGUAGAUAUUAGGAGGAACACCAGUGGCGA
rnacentral:rRNA from 1 species